rnacentral:tRNA from 1 species
GGAGAGGUGGCCGAGUGGACGAAGGCACGCGACUCGAAAUCGCGAACCCACUUAAAAGUGGGUCGGGGGUUCGAAUCCCUCCCUCUCCG